CCCUACGCAGCAGAGAUCUAGUAGAAGACACAGUUCCUCAUUGAAAGAAGAUACAGGGAGACAGUCCGCCGUGCGUUCACCCGAUUCCGCCACCCUGCCGGCCACCGCGCGCUCAGAUGCAAAUCCUCCACUCCGUUCUUUCUCUUCUACGGCGACCUGGCGUUUCUACCUCUCCUGCUCUCCUCUAUCCCAUGGCGUCUCCUCCGUGUCACUGGUGGCCACCGGCGCUUUCGCGACGAGUUUUCCGACUCAUGGUGGCUCCCAAUCCACCUGCACGUCGUAUUUCCCGAUUUCCUCAUGGUUCUCGGAACAUGGCCAUUACCUGUGGAGAAAAAGUUAAUGAGUCAGACAGGAGAUUUCUCGCCUCUUGUAUCAGCAAAAGUUCUGCUAUCACCCAAGGCAUCAUAGAGACGAGGGGCACAACCAAGCAGUUCAUUGCUCAUUAUGGCGAUAGCCGUCUUGCCAACGGUGAAUACAAUGGGAGGACUGACAUGGUUGCAAUUAAUGGGGACGAAGAUGAUUGUAGAACUACCUUUGAGGUUAUAGAUGUUAUAGCUGACAAACACGAUGCGCGUGGGAACAUUGUGGACACCUCUGGGUGUGAGGAAGACAGGAGCGCAACCAUGGGUCACACAGGGGAAGCGUUCGUCAGUGACGAUGACAAAGAAGAUGUGACCACGAAUACGAAGAUGAAUGAGAGUUCUAAUGCACCGAUGUAUCCUCGUUACCAUGUCGACGAUGUAAUCCCUAUGGAUAUACUUCCGGAAAGUAGGCACCGUGAUGGUUCUAUAUACAGGGCCACUCAUAUGUGGAAAAAAAACUACAAUAUUGCUGACCGUACUGAAACUCGGUUCGAGGCAACGAUGUUAUCAGAUGCCACUAAUUGCAUCAUCCGUGAUGGAAUUUGCGUGAUGCAUCCACCUUGUUGUAUGUUGCAGAUUUUUUCGUUAAAGUUGGCUAAACUUUAUGUGGAUGGUGGCUCAGUAGAGUUGUAUGGAUAUGUAGCAGCACGGGAUGGUUUGGAUCCAUUGCUUAAUUAUAUUGUCAAUGUUAGUAGGGACGAUCCCAUCAUCGUGGAGCAGGGUUCUCUGAUCAACAUUGUUGGCCCUAAGCGAGGGAUAGACUUGUGUGGCUCUACUCUAAUCGAAUACGACAUGAGGAUCAAGACAGGUGAACAGGAAAAGGAUGAUCUACAACUGAUCGAUGGUGUAUCAGACAUAGACGGAGUGGCCUUAUGGGAUCGUUGCACAUUCACAAAUCGCAUCCAUGGCGAUUAUGGCGCAGUUGACUUAACUGCAUCAUGUCUUGAACAAGCAGUUGAGGCGUCUGUAGAAGUUGUCAUUUCAGAAGUGCAUAGCAGUUUUAAUUUGUGUCUAAUUUGUUUUAUCCGUGGGUUGAAUGAGGAACUCAAACUCUUUGAUGGUGGUAUUGGUGAGCCACGCGGCUUGAAUAGGUCUGUGGUUGCUGUGAUGGAGGAUUCUUGGAUGGAAUUGAAGUUCAAGGUAGGCGCGGAGUCAUCCAGUUCAGCUGAACAUUGUUGCUCCUUCAAAGCGAACAACCAUGGUCGUGCUACUCAAGAGAUAAAGAUUGAUUUUGGGUUGAUCUCAGUGAAGGUGACCUGGUCCACUUUGAAUCUUUGAUUGGUCGGCAGCAGGCUUAUUUCAGUGCAUUCCAACCUUCGCAGGGAAGUUAUGUCUGUGACUCCGCUAAGACAUCCAGUUUACUACCCCAAACCUUUGCAAAGAGACGUCAGGAAACAUGUAGGUCAUGAAUCACAUGAGCUUUCCAAGCGACUCCAAGAUGUGCUGCUGAA